ensembl:lncRNA
GGUCAGUGUGUGUGUGUGUGUGAGAGAGAGAGAGAGAGAGGUCAGUGUGUGUGUGUGAGAGAGAGAGAGGGGUCAGUGUGUGUGUGUGAGAGAGAGAGAGAGGUCAGUGUGUGUGUGUGAGAGAGAGAGAGAGGUCAGUGUGUGUGUGAGAGAGAGAGAGGGGUCAGUGUGUGAGAGAGAGAGAGGUGUGCUUUGAGGGAUAAGACGGUAGUCUGGUGUGUGUGAUUUUAAUAUCCUGUCACCUUAGGGUUGAACAAUGUUAACAUUCCCAGAAUAUCCUGAUUUAUUCCUUCCAAUAUCUGG